GGUAAUAUUGGUGGCCGGCCGGUGAUUAUAUUUGUUAAGGCGGUGCCGGAAAACUGAAAGAGGAAACUAUGGGACCAGGAGGAUGGGGACAGCCUCCGCCGCCGCCCCCGCCGGAGCCAGAUUGCUUUUGUGGCAUUUCUAAUUGCAUUUCUUCAUGCUUAAACUUCUUGUGCUGCUGUGGGCUGUUUGGUGACUGCUUUGGAGAAAGAAAACAUAUGUGAAAGAAGGAUAUGGUGUUUGGCUACUGAAUUUUUAAUGAAGAAAACAGAUCUAAAUUGAAUGAAAAAGAA